CCAGGAUGCAGCGAGGAGGAAGGAGCAGCUCAAGGGGAGCCAGAGCCCCCGGGAAGGGAAGAGCCUGGCCCGGAAAAAUCGGGAGCCCCGGGAAGGGAAGAGCAGCCAGGGAGGAACCGGGAGCCCCUGGAAAGGGGGAAUCGGGUGCCUCGGGAAGGGAAGAAGCCCGGCCAAGAGGACCGGGAGUCCCCGGCCAGGAGGAAUCGGGGGCUCCGGGAAGGGAAGAAGCCAAGCCGGGCCGGAAGGAACCGGGAGCUUGGGGAAGGAAGAAGCUCGACCGGGAGGAACCGGGAGCCCCGGGAAGGGAAGAAGGCCGGCCGGGAAGGGAAGAGCCAGGAGCCCGGCGCAGGAGAACGAGGAGCCUCUGCCGGAGGGGAGCCUCGGGGAUCUGUCGGGACCGGCGGGCACUGACCUCGAUCGGGCUGACGGGCGUGGAGGAGAGCGGCUGCAGAGCUGACCACAAGAUUGAUUCAGGGCUGGGAGUGGGAUGUAAGCGGAGAGGUGCCGCCUUUCAAAGGAGCCUUUCAGGGAAGGGGAAGGAGAAGAAAGUCUUCCCUCAAAGCUGCUCGAGGCCGACGCCAACAUCAACAGGGGAGACAUGUUUUAAAACAACUGACAACAUUGCAAGAUGUAAAACGACAACGAUCAUGCAGCAGGGAAGGCAGGGAGAGGCUUCGGCUAUUAACUGAUUCUCCCAGGGUGAUGGGGGUAUGGAAGAGCUGGGCAGCUCCUCUGCCUCUGCAGAGAGACCCACAUUAUGGAGCAGGCUGAGCACUGCAGCCACAGAAAAACACCCAAAGCAUUACUUAAUGAAACUAUGCAAAUUCAAACAACUUCAUUCCUGUAAGAUCAGGGCCAGAGCCUCAAACCAUUUGGUUCAGCUCAUCUGGCACGGCCACGGCAGAGAACGUUUGGAGCAGCUCUUCAUACGAAUGGAAAAGAGGGAAAAAAGAAGGCUGUAAAUCAAGUUUAAUUUAUGCAUUUUCUGGCUGGUAUGAAGGCAUGCCAAAAAUCAGAUUAUUUAUGAGCCCUUCCUAACAAUAGGCAUUUUUAUUGGUUGCAAAUGACAAAAGGGCUUCUCAGAGGCACUUUGAAUUUAUUUAUUGGUUUGAUUUGAAUCCCAACCCCCCCCUUCUGUAAAGAAAAAAUAAAGAAAGGCUUUCCAGAAACAUUAAAAUUAUUAUUUUUA